CUUCCUUGCACCAUCCUCAAGCACUGCUCCCCACCCUGCUCCCAGGGCUGGCAAAGCCCUUUUGACCAUGGACAAGCACUGCAGGACUUUCCUUGGCUGUUGAUUGGGAUGCUGUCACUCUCCUCUACGGGACUUGGCCGCGCUGGUACCAGUGUGACAUGAGACUCUGUUGUUUUUCAGAUUUCCUACCAAGUCGUUAAUGAGCUGUCAAUUAUUUGUGCAAAUUAAGAGGCAAGCACUGAAAAUUAGACACCAGAAAAGAAACAUUUCCUCAAGUCUUGGGAAAUACAAGACUACUUUUAACGAUUCUCUUAAAAUUGAUGAAUCUUCAUUUAUAUCAGAACAAAAGCUACUUUAUAUAAGGUACCACAUGUGAUUUCCCAGUUGGUGCUCAGCCACAUGGAAACUUCUCCACCUUUAGCACAACCCAUAGGAUGAGAAUGUUGGUGGCAAAGGUAGCAGGAAUAUGGCCAGGAAAUCUCAGCACCUUCUAAAGCAGAUGGAAGGGAAAUUUGCUUCAUCUAUGUCGGAAAAAACAUUAAGUUUUCUUUAUCCCCCUGCCAUUUUAGCCUCUGCUACUCAUUCCCAUCCUGCAGUUGUGUGAAUAGUAAUUGUGUGUGGCUACAUUCUGAGAUCCUGGAAACCACUAAUGUGAAAAAUGAGAACAAUAAUAAUAUUCUAACCAUCUUUUUGUCAUCUCAAUCACCAGUUGCCCUUACAAGACAAAAUUAGCAAUUUUAAUCACUGUGACAGGGAUUUUAAAUCAUCCUCUCCAAGAAAAUAUUAUGUUUUUCUAAGUUUUAAUUAUGCAAAGGGUUACUCUUAAGAGGCUACAGCAGGAUAUUUCAUAUGCUUAAAUUUAAUCACAUGCAUAAGUCAUUACAGAAUCAGAGACUGGUAUUUUUACUGGGAGACCCAGCAUUUUCCCUUGAAGGAAGGAUUGCUUCCCUUUGUCAGUCCUGACUCUAAUGUUCUGAGAAACCUGAAUUCAGACUGGAGCAGAUGUGGAUAUCCAAAAAGCUGCAUUGAUCUCCAGUGAAAUAUCAGAUCUUUCCUACCAGGAGAAGAAGUUAGGUGCUUCCUCUACCAGAGGGUACAGACCAAAGGUGAAACACAGAUGCCAAGAAGAAAGGGCUUAGAAAUCCCUGAAAAUUAUAAAAAUAAAAACUUCUGGAUCCUCAUUCUCCUUAAUGGACCAGU